rnacentral:siRNA from 1 species
AUGCAAAGAUGAUGCCAAUACUAC